rnacentral:tRNA from 1 species
GGGGUUGUGGCUCAGUGGUGGAGCACUCUCCUGCAAUGUGUGAGGCACUGGGUUUGAUCCUCGACACCA